UACGUAGGGUGCAAGCGUUGUCCGGAAUUAUUGGGCGUAAAGAGCUCGUAGGCGGUCUGUCGCGUCGGCUGUGAAAACCCGAGGCUCAACCUCGGGCCUGCAGUCGAUACGGGCAAACUAGAGUACUGCAGGGGAGACUGGAAUUCCUGGUGUAGCGGUGAAAUGCGCAGAUAUCAGGAGGAACACCGGUGGCGAAGGCGGGUCUCUGGGCAGUAACUGACGCUGGAGGAGCGAAAAGCGUGGGGAGCGAACAGG
rnacentral:rRNA from 1 species